CCUGGCUCAGAUUGAACGCUGGCGGCAUGCUUUACACAUGCAAGUCGAACGGUAACAGGGAGCUUGCUCCGCUGACGAGUGGCGAACGGGUGAGUAAUGCAUCGGAACGUACCCAGUCGUGGGGGAUAACGUAGCGAAAGUUACGCUAAUACCGCAUACGUCCUGAGGGAGAAAGCGGGGGACCGUAAGGCCUCGCGCGAUUGGAGCGGCCGAUGUCGGAUUAGCUAGUUGGUAGGGUAAAGGCCUACCAAGGCGACGAUCCGUAGCGGGUCUGAGAGGAUGAUCCGCCACACUGGGACUGAGACACGGCCCAGACUCCUACGGGAGGCAGCAGUGGGGAAUUUUGGACAAUGGGCGAAAGCCUGAUCCAGCCAUGCCGCGUGAGUGAAGAAGGCCUCGG
rnacentral:rRNA from 1 species